rnacentral:rRNA from 1 species
GAUCCUGGCUCAGGAUGAACGCUGGCGGCGUGCUUAACACAUGCAAGUCGAACGGAGUUUACUUAACAGAUUCCUUCGGGAUGACGUUUUUUAAACUUAGUGGCGGACGGGUGAGUAACGCGUGGGUAACCUACCUUACACAGGGGGAUAGCAGUUGGAAACGACUGGUAAUACCGCAUACCUUACAUUAUUCGCAUGUUUGAUGUAAGAAAGAUUUUAUCGGUGUAAGAUGGACCCGCGUCUGAUUAGCUAGUUGGUGUGGUAACGG